AGCGGGUCUGAGAGGAUGAUCCGCCACACUGGGACUGAGACACGGCCCAGACUCCUACGGGAGGCAGCAGUGGGGAAUAUUGGACAAUGGGGGGAACCCUGAUCCAGCCAUGCCGCGUGUGUGAAGAAGGCCUUAUGGUUGUAAAGCACUUUAAGCGAGGAGGAGGCUACUCUAGUUAAUACCUAGGGAUAGUGGACGUUACUCGCAGAAUAAGCACCGGCUAACUCUGUGCCAGCAGCCGCGGUAAUACAGAGGGUGCAAGCGUUAAUCGGAUUUACUGGGCGUAAAGCGCGCGUAGGCGGCUAAUUAAGUCAAAUGUGAAAUCCCCGAGCUUAACUUGGGAAUUGCAUUCGAUACUGGUUAGCUAGAGUGUGGGAGAGGAUGGUAGAAUUCCAGGUGUAGCGGUGAAAUGCGUAGAGAUCUGGAGGAAUACCGAUGGCGAAGGCAGCCAUCUGGCCUAACACUGACGCUGAGGUGCGAAAGCAUGGGGAGCAAACAGGAUUAGAUACCCUGGUAGUCCAUGCCGU
rnacentral:rRNA from 1 species